UUGCCCGAUGAUUAUAAAAAAAAGACGCAUUAUUAAGAGGACUUAAUGCUGGAGUUCUUUAUCUUUACCUUCUUUCUCUCUUUUCUGUACUACUUUUUCUUUCUUUGAAUGUCCAGCGUCCUAUGAGCGAAGAUUAUGAGAUAUGAGGGCAA
ensembl:snoRNA